ensembl:lncRNA
UGUGUCUCUACCAAUCACUGUUCAUUUUGCGUAACAUUUACAUGCAUAAAAAUAACUAAACGAUGUGAUAGUCACGAAAUAAACAGCAGCGAAUGAAGAAAGAAGUCUUAGUUCCGUAGAAGACCUGCUACAGUGGACACAAGCCAGUCUGCUGGAGCUACUUCUACCAUGGCUCAGUCUCUGUCAGGGAAGUCCUCCCCAGAGGAAUCUGCAGAGAAAGACCUCUGUGUCUCUGAGCUUAAGGAGAAAGAGCUCUUUGUCGCUGAGCUUCAGGCAGAGUUUCCAUUUCUGUCAGAUUACCUGAAUGGUCUAAAGGAUGAGGAAUGGGUUACCUUCCGUGAUGUCAUGGCUAAUCCUAUGACCAAGGAGGAGUUUUUCACGCUCCUGAUUAACUUGGUGAAGCACGUGGACCUGACCUCAAUGCAGGUGGUCGUACCGGCGCUCCUGAAGAUGCUGAGGGAAAUGCCCGAGAGCUUCCAGAGUGCUUCCCAAGAGCAUCCCGAGAGCUCCGUCUCUGGUCCUGGCGGCGCUCAGGACCUUCCCGGCUCUCGCCCCGACUCUCCCUCUCUCACAUAUGUCGAGGAUGAAACCGAUAUCAUGGUGCUAAAGAAUGAAGUCCUCACGGAAAUCAUUCCCAAAGUAAGAAGCAGCAGGUUAUCAUCGACUGACUCAUCGUGCCCCUCAAGAAAGAGGUCCCAGUCUUCUCUGCUGAGUCAACUUGGCGUCACCGAGGACGAUAUAAAAGAAAGUGUUCAGGACACUCUGAGCAAAAUGCAUGUGAUUGGCUCCACCACUGGGUCCGCGGGAGAGCUGAUCAAUGCCAUUGUCCAGCAGAUAGUGGUAAGCAUUAAGGCUAGCCUAGCCGAGAUGAAGAGAACUACUGGUACCAAGUCACCGAGAGCGGCUGCUCUACGGAGGAAAUCCAGCACUGAUCAGCUGGUUCAAGAAGUGUCCAGAAAGCUCUUUGAGUUUGCAAGGGCACAAGACCGGGUCUGCAUGUCUGAGCGAGAGGUUGAGUCAUCUUUGGCUUCAACAGUGAGUGAAGCAAUGACUGCAGCGAUCCAGGCUUUGGAAAGUGGUUCGGAUGACCAGGAGACCAAGGGCAAAUGGGCAAAACGGAGUCUGGCACGCAUCAAAAGAGCUGUGCCAGCUCUAAUGUGCCAAUGUGCCAGCUCCAACGUGCCAAUGUGCCAAUGUGCCUGUUCCACGGGCGUUAUUUCGGAUGUGGAGGGUGAAAAGGAGGUCAAAGAAGUGCGCAGGGAAAGUCAGAGGCCUGAGCAGAGCAUCAAAACUGUUUCCAGUGAGGAAUUUCACAGCAAGGCCAAGAAAGCGGUCAGCGAUGUUCUCAUCGGAGAACUUAAAACAUUGCACUCUGCUCCUCGUGCUCCUUCCAGUGACUCCCCAGGAGCCGGAAGUGAGGCUUCAUCUUCACGUCCUCAGCCCGUCGAGGAAGCUGCUACCAUCCUCAUCGAGACAUUCGUGGACGAGAUGAAGAAGGUGGCUCAGUCUGCUGAAUAUGCGGAUGAGCCCGUGUCUCCUGACGAUCAUCUCCUCAGCCAGACACCCGGAGUCUCCGGUGUUAAAAAGAAGGAGACGGUUCAGUUGGCGGCAGCAAAGAUUUAUGGACAAGUCCAAAUGACACUGAAGGAUUUCUUCAAGAGGCUGCCCCUCCAGCAGAGCCAACGCUGCGCCACCACACUGAGAACCGAGGACCCACAGCAAUCCGACUCAUUGGCCCCGGAUGUCCACUCUGCCGGAGACGAACAGGAAGCAGAGCUCCCAGCAAGCAGCAGGAGUGAACAAGCUCUUCCUGUGGCCGAAGCACAGAGUCCGGUGGACAUUGGUGAGGUGCGGAGCGUCAGUGGGUGCCCUUUGACCCCACUUCAGCUGGCCGCCUGCACCAGAAAUGUGUUAAAAGGAGUGGUGGCCUCCUAUCUGUCUGGACCGGAGCGAACGUCGUCUCGUGAACAGGAGGCUUCACCAGAGCUGCUGGCAGCUAAGAGCAGUUUGUUAGAAGGCGUAAUCGUCCAGUUGGAAGAUAUGGCCGGCUCUAACUCCCAUGGAUGCAAUGAGGACGAUCCCUCAAAACUGACAGGAACGGAUGUCACUGGAGGGCUUAGUAAGCCCUGCUCACUUACUAGCUUGAGAAGAUUGUCCAGUGUAGAAUUUCAAAUGAACGCUUUUGAGUCGGUUACUAAUGUGCUUGUUGCUUCAGUGCGAAGCUACUCCUCCUUAAAAUCGUACGCUUCGGACAUCGACAAAGACGAAUUCCGAGGAGUACCAUGGAACGACUUUUCCUCCAAAGAUGUGGAUGCUGUCGUCACAGAAAUAGUCAAUCAAUUUGUGAGCGACAUACAGACGCAUGCUUUCCUCGCGUCUCCAAGUCCUGACCCAGUGGACGCCUGCUCAUCUGAAGCCGAGCCACAGUCAUGGAGGAGCAAGCUUGCCCUCUCAGACAAGCCAUUCAUUUCCUCAGCUUCAAAGAUGUAUGAGAAUCUGCUAGGUAAAGUUGGCAAGUUUUUUGCUCAGUGCUCCAUCAGGUGUAACGCCCCAGGGAAGCAGCGCACAGAUGAUGAGCAUGAGAUGGAUCCGUCUCUAAAUACCAAUGAUGCAACAACACAGAGCAACAACGAUACGGUGCUUGCCAAUCCUCUCAGCCAUAGGGAAGAUGUCACUAACAUGGCCGACCUUGAUGGCUGCACGAGAGACAUGAUGUCGGAACUUUUAACGGUGCUGGAUGAAGAGAGCGCAAAGGAGGACACCGAAAACCGAUCCGCUACCGUGACAACAGACAUGAUGGUGGACCCGUCCAUCCACCGUUUUGCUGAUGGAGAACAUUCUGAUAAAUCUGCUGAGAAGGAUUGCAGUGUUUCACUGACCUCAAUAACUGAGAUGAUUGAGGAAUUCUGCAGUGAGAGUGUUCAGAUGAAUGCGGUCAAGCAAGUCAGUGAAGUGUUGCUUCACUCUGCCAUCAACCUGUCAAGGCCUUCCAGCUCCUUGCAAACAGAGCACACUGCAUGUCAAGUGGUCAAAGCCGUUGUUGAAGGUGUACAGCAUAUUUUGGAGUCAACUUCAUCAUGCGUUACGAAGGAUAACACCUGCUCUGACAUCAAAGGAGACAGUGUGCCCAGUUCACAGUGUAAUGAGCGAACGAGGGAAGAUCUUAACAUACAAAUCUGGACAACCAUACGUGGGAUGUUCAGUACCUCACUGCGAAAAGUGAAGGAUUUGUUUAGGACGAGCCAGCCGCUUUACUCCAAGACCACAUGCAAAUCGUACGCACAUGCAAAGGAGGUUAUUAGCAAAGCGCUCCUCAGGAUUAGAGGAAGCCUUCUAAAGUCAGGGGAUCUUGACAGUCUAGAUAAUCUCAGCUUUGUUAA